rnacentral:rRNA from 1 species
GGCGAGUGAAGCGGGAAGAGCUCAACAUUGUAAUCUGGCUGCUUCGCAGUCCGAGUUGUAGUCUAUAGAAGCAUGAUCCGCGCCGGCCCUUGGGCAUGUCUGUUGGAACGCAGUGUCAAAGAGGGUGAAAAUCCCGUACAUACCAAGGACGACCGUGUGCAUUGUGGUCUGCUCUCUAAGAGUCGAGUUGUUUGGGAAUGCAGCUCUAAUUGGGUGGUAAAUUCCAUCUAAAGCUAAAUAUCGACGAGAGACCGAUAGCGAACAAGUACAGUAAUGGAAAGAUGAAAAGUAGCCUGCAGAGGCAAUGAAACAAUACGUGAAACCGUUUGUAGGGAAGCGAUGGAACCUUUUCACGCUGCGAGGGUUCAGCUUGGCUUCGGCUUAGUGUAUUCCCUCGUUUUGCGGACCAGCAUCAGUUUGCUUCGCAGUAUAAGGGUGAUCGGAACGUGGCUUCUCCGGAAGUGUUAUAGCCUUUCACUGGAUGCUGUGUCGCAGACUGAGGACUGCAGUGCGCCGUAAGGCAUGGUCUUCGGGCCACGAGCACUUAGGAUGCUGGGCGAAUGGGUUUCAACGACCCGUCU